ACGUGUGUAGCUCAGUUGGCAGAGCAACAGACUUUUAAUCUGAAGGUCGUGGGUUCAAAUCCCAUCACACGUA
rnacentral:tRNA from 1 species